UUACCUGUGGUUAAAUUGUCGUUGAUCUUCAGGGGCACCCGCAGGAUGUAGACGAGGAAGAGCAUGACGAAGAACCACAGCGUCCAGAGAGCAGACAACUUUCUGUCCCACCUAGUACAGCCAAGGUGCAGCUGGUGCCGCCACACUGUGCAAUAAGAACCAAGAUGAGCUUUUGCUUCUUCCCCUUGAAAGAAGUGAAGACUCCUAACAACACUACUGCUCAGUUGUCCAAUCAAACAUCUGACCUUUGGAGUCGUUAACCACAGCAGCUUUGUGGCCAACUAUGCUUUUGCUUCCUCUCGUUCAUGUUUUUACAAUGCAGCGAAAGACUUGCAAAGUUUACCAGUUUUACAUCAUCUGAAAGGGGAUUUAACAAUGCAGCUCCAUGUAAAAGGAAAGAGGAAAGCGGAUUUCUUCCUGCUAUUUAGUUUAAAACUGUUAAUGGCUCUUGAAAGCUCAGAUUUCUACUCCAGUUGCUUGUGCAGAUAUUAACCUUAAGUGUGACAGCAAAACUAGAAGCGUACUUAGAAGUGUGUUCAUCUUUGGAGUACCGUUUUAUUUUGUAAUUAACUUACCCCUUUUCUGAGCUUCUUUCCCCUAUUUCCAAAUUACAAAGAAGCUAUAAAUGCACGUUGUUAGACACAGUAGAAACAAGUGCUAGGUCAGUAUACAGACUGCAGGUUACUGAAGAUUCACAGAGGUAUUUGGGGCAGUACCCUCAAGAUUUUGACUGGAUUAAGACAGACUGGAAGGGAAAUAACAGGUCAAGCUCUCCUCAGAGCUGUAGCAUCAGACUCACACUCUUCAGGCUGAAUAGGAGAAGGAAAAUACAUAUUCAGUCAUACUCUUGUACCUCUUACGAUCUUGGUGACAGAUCUUAUGUUAGAACUAGGUAUGUUGCCUUCUCCAGGAAACGGCAGGAUGAUGGCGUCCCAAACCCACAGACAUAGCUGGAGCCCUUGCUGGCACCUCAAUAGCACAGCAAGGUUUUGAACAUUUCCACCAUUCGGAGCCUAACUUUUAAGCACCCGGCUUCUGCAAGAUGCCUAGUCCUGAGACAGUACGCACCACAGUCCAGCACCCAAGAAAGUCAACACAUUGAAGAGGCAGGCAGCUCAAGCAGCUGGAAGGAAAACAUUUAAUAGUCAUUGCAUCCCAAGAAAAUGGAAAUUAAACAUCUUCCACU